rnacentral:rRNA from 1 species
UACGUAGGCAGCAAGCGUUGUUCGGAAUUACUGGGCGUAAAGGGUGCGUAGGCGGGUCUUUAAGUCAGGGGUGAAAUCCUGGAGCUCAACUCCAGAACUGCCUUUGAUACUGAAGAUCUUGAGUUUGGGAGAGGUGAGUGGAACUGCGAGUGUAGAGGUGAAAUUCGUAUAUUCGCAAGAACACCAGUGGCGAAGGCGGCUCACUGGCCCGAUACUGACGCUGAGGCACGAAAGCGUGGGGAGCAAACAGG